GGCAAGAACAAAGUUAUUUAAACUAAGGCUUUCCUUUUGCUAUCAGGUGGGAAGCUGAUUUGUGCCACAGAGUGGGCAAAGAAAUUCAGUUGAACUCAAAGUUGCAUCAGGGAGAGGUCUUUGACACAUGAACACUCAAAUCUGUCAUGUGUCAGCUCUAUGACUGCGUUUCAGGGUCAUCCAUAAAGCUAGCAUUCACUAAGAACCAGGCAUUCUUCUAGUACAGGAGAUAGAUGAACUCAGCCAAUCUCUCACAACAACCCGAUGAGCUUGGUGUCGCCAACUAUGGGAAACAGAGGCCUGACAGGUUAGGCAGCUGGCCCACUAGUAAACAGGGCAAGCCAGAAUUCAAACCUUGGCAGUCCCUCUUACUCACUACUCUCCACCAAACGUUAACACGCACAUGAAUCACCCAGGGAUCUUCCUACAAUGCAGAUUGGGUAGGUCUGAGGAAAGGAAUGAGAAUCUGCACUUCCUACAUGCCCCCAGGUGAUGCCAACUCCACCGGUCUCUGCAACUAGAAAGGCUUUACCCUAGAGUUACCUCUCUAUUCUCUGACAAGUUAUAAAAACAUGCGCAGGGUGGAAUGUACAUUUGUUAACCCUUCACCAUGUCACCAUACUCUUCCCAUGGGAAAAUAUACACAUGCAUGAAGAAAAACAGAAUAAGUAACCAAAAUAAAAGUGGUCCUAAAUCUCUCCUUUCCCAGAGAUUGGUUCUCCAGUUAUUUCAGAAGAGGAUCACAGGGGAGCCUUGGGCCGGGCUUCCGGAGCCUCCGUGGACGUGCUGGCCAUGUGGUGCUUGCUGAGCCCCAUGCCCAGACGACUGAGGAUGUCUUUGCACAGGAGAUGUCAUAUUUCAGUGCAACACACACACAGGAAGUAUCUUCCUAGAUGCAGGCUUCAACUGUUUAUUUGGAAAGAAGCAAUUUCUUCAUUUUAAAGGGAAGGCUCUUGCUAUAAUGAGUGGCAAAUUCUCUUUGAGUGAAAUCUACAAUGGAAAAAUCUUCCAAGGAAGUAAGAAAGCCACAAUUUCAGUAACCUGACGUGCAUGUGUCCAUGUAGCCAGUAUCCCUUCUAGGGCUCUUCUUGAUGAGUAAGUGAGGAUUAGUGUUUGUUCUUAAGCAACAGGCCAAGUAGAGAGUGCUCCAGAGCUCAGGCACCUCUGCGACAGUAACUGCACAACGGCUGACCCAAAUCUGCUCCUGGCAGAGAGGUCUGGCAGCAAUGUGAUGAUGAGUCUUCUCUGGGAGGCUGAUCUCUUUCAGUAUGAAGCAUCCCCACCAUCCAUUCCCACAUUACAAUGCCCAUGGCCUCUGGGCUGUUCUCUGCCUCCUUCAACUGAAAACACAAGAAGAGGGCCGAGGACUGAUACCUAUAAAGGCGAGCCCUUACUUUUUCAGCAUAAAAGCUCAGGUUUUGAUCUAUAUUUUAGGCCAGUGGAUCUCAAUGUUGGCUGCACACUGGAAUCACCCUGGGAGCUUUAGCCACUACAGAUGCCUGGGUCCCUUGCCCAGGGUUCUAGCUUCAUCAGUCCAGAGCACCCAUCCAAGCCCUGUGCGCUCCUUAGUAGACCCAGUGCCACGCAGGGGAGCCUUCUGCUUCAACAGCUGCCACGGCCAGGCUCACUCCAGUUUCUGGCUCUCUCACUCUGAAGCUGUUCUGUUGGGCUGUAGCUCUUCAGUAGUUUUUUGUUUUUUUUUUCUCCGUGGAGAGCUCAAGAAAGGACUCUACUAAGCACAGGCAUUCUUUUCCACUCAGGCCAUCCAGACACCUAGUAGCGAAGCACAGCCUGAGGCUUGCGGAGUUUUGUUUUUUUAAACUGAAAUGAUGAAUUCUAGGCUGCAAUAGAUGAUAUGUAAGCUGGGCAGAGCUGAGGAACUUACUGAUGAGAAAGGGAGAACACGGCAGCAGUCCUGCUGUCUGCCUAAGGAGAUCAACCUGCGUGUUCACCGCUGCGCAGCGCAGACGCCGAUGAUUGGCCCAGCUCACAGGUGAGCUGCCCUCUGUCAAAUGUGUGCCUGCUAAGUUAACGUUUUCUCCAGUCCUUCGCUGGUUUACCGGCUCCCUGCACAGUAAGAAUCCAAGGGAAUUAUUUAAUUAUUUUCCUCCUUCUCAGUAGCAACAAUGAGAGGAUCCGCCACGCUUUGUGAUUCAGAAAAUGUAUUUAUACCCCCUUUUUAAUGUGUGAGUACGAUAUGUGCAUGCUCCUUUUAGAAGCUGUUUUGUUGAGAGGAAAUGAAGAAAAUAAACAGCAGCAAAAUCACUUAGGCUAGUGUUUCUCAGAGCGCUGUAGGAUGGGCCGAUGGCAUCAGAAUCAUCUAUGGUGCAUGUUAAAAAUCCACACUUUGGGGUCUCACACCAAGCCUCCCGAACCCAACCUGCAGGUGCAGGGUUUGGGAGCUGCCAUUUUCAUGAAGCUUCCCAGCCCAUUCUUACACUGAGCCCGACAACCUCUGACUUACGUACACCUGCACAAAUAAGUCUGUUUAUUAUCCUCUCUCCUCCCUCCCAUUUUUUCCCUACAGCAUUUCUCUCUCUGUCCUGUUUACCUCCACCAGAGCAAAGGAAAAUAUUUAGUCCUACACAGUAGGAACUCAGAUGCAUGCUAUUUGCUAAAAGCUAGCCCACUAAGGCAAUUAUUCGUAGAUUGCCUUGAGAAUCUCAAAUCCGAGAGUGAGCAGUCAAGAAGCUAAAAGGAGGCAAGAGACGUGGAAGGCAGCUCCCUGAAUUCCUCUCCUGCCUGUGAAUUACUCUACAAAUAAAGCUCACAGAAAAGGCUGGAUUGCAAACCAAAGAACAACUCCUGUUGAUGGUGCAAAUGAUGUAAAGAAUUCCUUGGGGACUAAAAUCUGACAGUAUAGUGAAACUCCAUCAAUAUCAUCUACCAGCUUGUUCACUCAGUCACCUCCUGGCUUCACUGCCUGAAUAUAACUACUCCUCUGAAUUUCGUGUUUAUCAUUCACUGGGACUGCCCAUCACAUGAGGUACCUAGG